GACGAACGCUGGCGGCGUGCUUAACACAUGCAAGUCGAACGGAAAGGCCUUUUCGGAGGUACUCGAGUGGCGAACGGGUGAGUAACACGUGGGUGAUCUGUCCUGCACUCUGGGAUAAGCCUGGGAAACUGGGUCUAAUUCCGGAUAGGACCGCACUUUAGUGUGUGUGGUGGAAAGUUUUUUCGGUGUAGGAUGAGCCCGCGGCCUAUCAGCUUGUUGGUGGGGUAAUGGCCUACCAAGGCGGCGACGGGUAGCCGGACUGAGAGGUUGGUCGGCCACAUUGGGACUGAGAUACGGCCCAGACUCCUACGGGAGGCAGCAGUGGGGAAUAUUGCACAAUGGGCGCAAGCCUGAUGCAGCGAGGCCGCGUGGGGGAUGACGGCCUUCGGGUUGUAAACUCCGUUCGCCAGGGACGAAGCGUUUUGUGACGGUACCUGGAGAAGAAGCACCGGCUAACUACGUG
rnacentral:rRNA from 1 species